UACGGGGGGAGCAAGCGUUGUUCGGAUUUACUGGGCGUAAAGGGCGCGUAGGCGGCCAGCGCAAGUCAGUUGUGAAAUCUCCGGGCUUAACUCGGAACGGUCAACUGAUACUGCGCGGCUAGAGUGCAGAAGGGGCAACUGGAAUUCUCGGUGUAGCGGUGAAAUGCGUAGAUAUCGAGAGGAACACCUGCGGCGAAGGCGGGUUGCUGGGCUGACACUGACGCUGAUGCGCGAAAGCCAGGGAAGCGAACGGG
rnacentral:rRNA from 1 species